rnacentral:rRNA from 1 species
GGAAUAUUGGUCAAUGGACGCAAGUCUGAACCAGCCAUGCCGCGUGAAGGAUGAAGGUCCUCUGGAUUGUAAACUUCUUUUAUCUGGGACGAAAACGGGAUUUUUAUCUCAAUUGACGGUACCAGAGGAAUAAGCACCGGCUAACUCCGUGCCAGCAGCCGCGGUAAUACGGCGGGUGCGAGCGUUAUCCGGAUUUACUGGGUUUAACGGGUGCGUAGGUGGGCUUAUAAGUCAGUGGUGAAAUCUCCGAGCUUAACUUGGAAACUGCCGUUGAUACUAUAGAUCUUGAAUUAUCUGGAGGGAAGCUGAAUAUGUCAUGUAGCGGUGAAAUGCGUAGAUAUGACAUAGAACACCAAUUGCGAACGCAGCUUACUACAUAUAAAUUGACG